GCACAUUUUAAUAAUGCCCCUUCUCCCUCUCCUGCCCCACAGGUCUCCCAGAUGUUCAAAUAGCUUGUGUCCUGCACACUGACUGAGAGUGUGUCCUUGACAAGUCCCUUCACCUCCCUGAGCUCCAGGCUUGUCACCCGUAAAAGGUGGUGACAGGAAGAGAAGUGCACAUGUGGGAAGCUCCCGAAAGGUGCCAUGUGCUCUACCCCAUGUGUGCCCACUCUCCUCUGGCCUCCCCCAGCCCCUUGUCCUUCUCUGCCUGCUCUGUGCCCUGGAGGCUGUGUCUGGUGAAGGUGGAGGGACUCAGGACACAGCCCAGACAUUCUUGGGAAAAUCACCGCAGGGCUCAGACGGCCAAUGUGGGACCUCGUGGUCCAGGUUUGAGGAGCUCUGGGAGUCCUACGACUGAGGUCUCUGCCCAGUUUGGUCUCAGGGACUCAUCCUAACAGUUUAUAUGCCUGCCUUCUGCUUCCCGACUGCUGCAGAGGAAAGAACAGGGGCUUUGGAACCAGAGA
rnacentral:lncRNA from 10 species